rnacentral:rRNA from 1 species
GGCCAGCAGCCGCGGUAAUACGAAGGGGGCUAGCGUUGCUCGGAAUUACUGGGCGUAAAGGGCGCGUAGGCGGAUAGUUUAGUCAGAGGUGAAAGCCCAGGGCUCAACCUUGGAAUUGCCUUUGAUACUGGCUAUCUUGAGUACGGGAGAGGUGUGUGGAACUCCGAGUGUAGAGGUGAAAUUCGUAGAUAUUCGGAAGAACACCAGUGGCGAAGGCGACACACUGGCCCGUUACUGACGCUGAGGCGCGAAAGCGUGGGGAGCAAACAGGAUUAGAUACCCUGGUAGUCCACGCCGUAAACGAUGAGUGCUAGUUGUCGGCAUGCAUGCAUGUCGGUGACGCAGCUAACGCAUUAAGCACUCCGCCUGGGGAGUACGGUCGCAAGAUUAAAACUUAAAGGAAUUGGCGGGGGAC